UACGUAGGGUGCGAGCGUUGUCCGGAAUUAUUGGGCGUAAAGAGCUCGUAGGCGGUUUGUCGCGUCGACUGUGAAAACCUGGGGCUUAACUCUGGGCCUGCAGUCGAUACGGGCAGACUUGAGUUCGGUAGGGGAGACUGGAAUUUACGGUGUAGCAGUGAAAUGCGUAGAUAUCGUAAGGAAGACCAGUGGCGAAGGCGAGUCUCUGGACAGUAACUGACGCUGAGGCACGAAGGCCAGGGGAGCAAACGGG
rnacentral:rRNA from 1 species